rnacentral:rRNA from 1 species
UUCCGGUUGAUCCUGCCGGAGGUUACUGCUAUCGAGGUUCGACUAAGCCAUGCGAGUCGAAUGCCGCAAGGCAUGGCGUACUGCUCAGUAACACGUGGACAACCUACCCUUAGGACUGGGAUAACCCCGGGAAACUGGGAAUAAUCCCCGAUAGUCCUCGAAGGCUGGAAUGCAUCGAGGGCGAAAGCUCCGGCGCCUAAGGAUGGGUCUGCGGCCUAUCAGGUAGUAGUGGGUGUAGCGUACCUACUAGCCUACGACGGGUACGGGUUGUGAGAGCAAGAGCCCGGAGAUGGAUUCUGAGACACGAAUCCAGGCCCUACGGGGUGCAGCAGGCGCGAAAACUUUACAAUGCUGGCAACAGCGAUAAGGGAACCUCGAGUGCCAGGUUACAAAUCUGGCUGUCGAGAUGCCUAAAAAGCAUUUCAUAGCAAGGGCCGGGCAAGACCGGUGCCAGCCGCCGCGGUAACACCGGCGGCUCGAGUGGUAACCGUUAUUAUUGGGUCUAAAGGGUCUGUAGCCGGCCGGAUAAGUCUCUUGGGAAAUCUGGCAGCUCAACUGUCAGGCUAUCAGGAGAUACUGUCUGGCUCGAGGCCGGGAGAGGUGAGAGGUACUUCAGGGGUAGGGGUGAAAUCUUGUAUUCCUUGAAGGACCACCAGUGGCGAAGGCGUCUCACC